GCCAAGCACAGUGGCGUGUGCCUAUAGUCCCAGCUACUUCAGUGCCUGAAGCAGGAGGAUCCCUUGAGUCCAGGAGUUCUGGGCUGUAGUGCAUCAUGCCGAUCGGGUGUCCACACUAAGUUUGGCAUCAAUAUGGUGACCUCCUGGGAGCAUGGGACCACCAAGUUGCCUAAGAGGGGUGAACCAGCCCAGGUCAGAAAUGGAUCAGGUCAAAAUUCCUGUGUUGCAGCCUAGUCAACAUGGUGAAACCCCGUCUCUACUAAAAAUCCCAAAAUU
ensembl:misc_RNA Metazoa_SRP Metazoan signal recognition particle RNA